UACAGAGGGUGCAAGCGUUAAUCGGAAUUACUGGGCGUAAAGGGCGCGUAGGCGGUUAAUUAAGUGAGAUGUGAAAUCCCUGGGCUUAACCUAGGACCUGCAUCUCAAACUGAAUAGCUAGAGUAUUGUAGAGGGUAGUGGAAUUUCCGGUGUAGCGGUGAAAUGCGUAGAGAUCGGAAGGAACACCAGUGGCGAAGGCGGCUACCUGGACAAAUACUGACGCUCAGGUGCGAAAGCGUGGGGAGCAAACAGG
rnacentral:rRNA from 1 species